AGAGUUUGAUCCUGGCUCAGGAUGAACGCUAGCGGCAGGCCUAAUACAUGCAAGCCGAACGGCAAGUUGAGUAGCAAUACUUGACCUAGAGUGGCGUAAGGGUGCGUAACACGUAUGCAAUCUGCCCACAACAGGAGGAUAGCUCCCCGAAAGGGGAAUUAACCCUCCAUAGGAUCACGGUCAGGCAUCUGAGAGUGAUUAAACCAAAAGGGGUUGUGGAUGAGCAUGCGGUUGAUUAGCUAGUUGGCGGGGUAACGGCCCACCAAGGCGAUGAUCAAUAGGGGAACUGAGAGGUUUAUCCCCCACACUGGCACUGAGAUACGGGCCAGACUCCUACGGGAGGCAGCAGUAGGGAAUAUUGGACAAUGGGCGAGAGCCUGAUCCAGCCAUGCCGCGUGCAGGAAGAAGGCCUUCUGGGUUGUAAACUGCUUUUGCCAGGGGAUAAAAGACCCGUGCGCGGGGAAUUGAAGGUACCUGGUGAAUAAGCCACGGCUAACUACGUGCCAGCAGCCGCGGUAAUACGUAGGUGGCAAGCGUUGUCCGGAUUUAUUGGGUUUAAAGGGUGCGUAGGCGGUUCCAUAAGUCAGUGGUGAAAUACGGCAGCUCAACUGUCGAGGUGCCAUUGAUACUGUGGAACUUGAGUACAGACGAGGUAGGCGGAAUUGACGGUGUAGCGGUGAAAUGCUUAGAUAUCGUCAAGAACACCGAUAGCGAAGGCAGCUUACUAGACUGUAACUGACGCUGAGGCACGAAAGUGUGGGGAUCAAACAGGAUUAGAUACCCUAGUAGUCC
rnacentral:rRNA from 1 species